UACGUAGGGGGCAAGCGUUGUCCGGAUUUAUUGGGCGGUAAAGCGCGUGGUAGGCGGCCAUAUAGGUCUGACGGUGAAAAUUCCGAGGCUCAACCUCGGCAGGUCGUUGGAAACCAUAUGGCUAGAGUCCGGAAGAGGAGAGUGGAAUUCCUGGUGUAGCGGUGAAAUGCGCAGAUAUCAGGAAGAACACCAAUGGCGAAGGCAGCUCUCUGGGACGGU
rnacentral:rRNA from 1 species